GGGGAUAUAAUGGUUUCGACAUGUUAUGAAACCUUAUUGCUGCAGUAGUUUGGUAGACUAUAAUACUUCUAGACUUUCUUAAACGGAAAAGAUCAAAAACAAACAAGCGUAAACCCAAUGUUUUUCGCUUACAACAACUCAAAUCUAGCUUUUGCUUAAUUUUGCAAACUAGUGGCUUAUAGAAAUUUCCUUGGUUUUAUAAGUCGGGUAAAAGGAUAGUGUAAGCGCUGACAAACUUACAUGAAAUUAGUCAAACACUUUAAAACUUUUUGGUUUGCUUUAGUUUUCUAGUGUUAUUAAAAGCAAAAUAAACUGUAGACGCAAUAAGCCUUUUGUAAUGUGGACAGGGGUUCGACUCCCCUUAUCUCCACCA
rnacentral:tmRNA from 1 species